rnacentral:rRNA from 1 species
GCCUAAUAGCUAGCCCUAUAAAUCAAAUACAAUAAGUCUAUAUUAAUAACCCCUAAUAUCCUAACGAUAUACCAAACAAACCAUUUUUCCCCCUCAGUAUAGGUGAUAGAAAAGGAAGCAUGGAGCGACAGAGAAAGUACCGCAAGGGAACGCUGAAAGAGAACUGAAACAACCCAGUGAAGCCGAGAAAAGCAGAGAUUUAACCUCGUACCUU